GACGAACGCUGGCGGCGUGCUUAACACAUGCAAGUCGAACGGAAAGGCCCCUUUGGGGGUACUCGAGUGGCGAACGGGUGAGUAACACGUGAGUAACCUUCCCUUGACUUCGUGAUAACUUCAGGAAACUGGGGCUAAUACCGGAUAGGAAUCCUUGCUGCAUGGUGGGGGUUGGAAAGCUUCGGCGGUUUUGGAUGGACUCGCGGCUUAUCAGCUUGUUGGUGGGGUAGUGGCUUACCAAGGCAUUGACGGGUAGCCGGACUGAGGGGGCGACCGGCCACACUGAGACUGAGAUACGGCCCAGACGCCUACGGGAGGAAGCAGUGGGGAAUAUUGCACAAGGGGCGGAAGCCUGAUGCAGAAACGCCGCGGGCGGGAUGACGGCCUUGGGGUUGUAAACCGCUUUCAGCAGGGGCGAAGCUUGUGGUGACGGUACCUGAAGAAGAAGCACCGGCUAACUACGUG
rnacentral:rRNA from 1 species